GGAGAGGGCGGGGAGGUGGGAACAUUUAGAGAAAGGAUUCCGGGGAGCUUAGGAGCUAGAGGAGCACCAGGGGGGACCCCCCGGGGAGACUGCCUGCCGGCAGGUAGUCUGCUCAACAAGAGGAAUUGAGAGCCAGGUUCUAGCUCUGGAGCACUCGCCCUCCUGUGGGGUUGAUCACUUUGCCAUGUGGCUGUUUCUCCCCCUCCUGCUGCGUGACCUUCCGAAGGGCAGGGAAGCCUCCUUGCCCAGUGCCCUCCGCACGGAAACGUCAAGACAUGAACUCUGGGAUGUCACUGUGGACCUGUCACCAGCCUGCCUUCUCCUUGGUUUGCUGCUGUCAUGUUGGCCUGAUCUUUUGACCAGAAAGGGAUUAAAAAGUUGCCCAUCCUGAUGGCUGUGCCUGCCGGUUGCAUGGAGCCUCAUUCAGGAUUUCCUGAGCCUCUUGGAUUUACAGUGAUACUCAGCUGCGGGGAGUGGAGGAAGCAUUCUCUGGAAUCACAGACGGCACACGUCUGGAUGCUAAUGAUGGUUUUACGGAUGGCCCCGGCUGAGUGCUUGGCAGAUCCCUGCAGCCUGGAUGCCUGUGGGGUCAGAGGACCGCGGCUUCCUGGGACGGCGGAGGUCUCUGCCCUUAUCUUCAUGCAAAUGUUCAGUUGGGUUGCUGCUAGCCUCACUGAGGGCGCCCCGUGAAACAAUCCUGUCAUACCUCGGAUUUUGGUGCCUUCAGUCUGAAAAAUACACACAUCCAUUUGGUACCCUAGAGGAACUGGAGAAUUGUCUUCCCCUGAAUGAAGCUGGACCAUUCUGGGAUUUGGAGAAAGGGCACUGGCACCCUGGGAGCUGGAGAGAUGCAGCUGGAAGAGCCCGCGCCCGGGGCACGAGGGGUCCCAUGCCAUGUCACGGGCUUGUCCCCAGCUGCCACCGUGCUGAUGGCUUGGCCGCCACUGCUGCUUACUGAGCACACCCGCGUGGGCCCUCGCUGCUGUGCCUUCUGUCGAGGCUCCGGCUCUCUCAUCCCUGAGGGACCCCGGCAUCCCACCUACCCAGGCUCACCAAGACAGGGCCCAUCACCGGUCCUCCGCACUCCUGAGUGUCGCACAGAGCGGGGGUCAGGCCACCUUAGGUUGUUGGGCUAUGGUUUUUGCAGAGUCCUGAGCUCCUGUGAAGAUCUGCUUCUCUCCAGCCUUGGGCUAUCUGCAUUCUUGAACAUCUCCGGGCCCAGAAGGAAAAGAAGAAUGCUGAGCAGCUCAGGGAAUGGCUUGAAUGAAAAGAGCACGUUCCUGGCGGUGGUGACAUCGGUCUGCAAGCAGUCAGCCCGAUAG
rnacentral:lncRNA from 1 species